rnacentral:pre_miRNA from 1 species
CAGCUGUGGGGUCUCAGGAGGCAGAGCUCUGGGGCAUCUCCACCAUAGCCUGGACCCCUCUUCUGCUGCCCCUCCUCGUUAUCCGCACAGGUGC